rnacentral:rRNA from 1 species
UUAACCUUUCAAAUCAGGGUGCGGCGCGGCCCCCGAGGAGCGGAAACAAUCCUUGGGAGGUAUGCGGGGGCUUCGAGCCCCCCAUUUACGCACGCACGACUGCCAUCCUUACUUUACGAGCACCUUCUGUUCUCCCUCGGCGGGGCAACCUGCCGUUGGAACCGAAUAAACUCUUUUUGCAUCUAGCAUUACCUGUUCCGAAACAAACAAUCGUUACAACUUUCAACAAUGGAUCUCUUGGCUCUGGCAUCGAUGAAGAACGCAGCGAAAUGCGAUAAGUAGUGUGAAUUGCAGAAUUCAGUGAAUCAUCGAAUCUUUGAACGCACAUUGCGCCCCUCGGUAUUCCGUGGGGCAUGCCUGUUCGAGCGUCAUCUACACCCUCAAGCUCUGCUUGGUGUUGGGCGUCUGUCCCGCCUCCGCGCGUGGACUCGCCCCAAAUUCAUUGGCAGCGGUCCUUGCCUCCUCUCGCGCAGCACAUUGCGCUUCUCGAGGGGCUACGGCUCGCGUCCAACAAGCACAUUUACCGUCUUUGACCUCGGAUCAGGUAGGGAUACCCGCUGAACUUAAGCAUAU